rnacentral:rRNA from 1 species
GACGAACGCUGGCGGCGUGCUUAACACAUGCAAGUCGAACGAUGAACCACUUCGGUGGGGAUUAGUGGCGAACGGGUGAGUAACACGUGGGCAAUCUGCCCUUCACUCUGGGACAAGCCCUGGAAACGGGGUCUAAUACCGGAUAUGACCAUCUUGGGCAUCCUUGAUGGUGUAAAGCUCCGGCGGUGAAGGAUGAGCCCGCGGCCUAUCAGCUUGUUGGGGAGGUAACGGCUCACCAAGGCGACGACGGGUAGCCGGCCUGAGAGGGCGACCGGCCACACUGGGACUGAGACACGGCCCAGACUCCUACGGGAGGCAGCAGUGGGGAAUAUUGCACAAUGGGCGCAAGCCUGAUGCAGCGACGCCGCGUGAGGGAUGACGGCCUUCGGGUUGUAAACCUCUUUCAGCAGGGAAGAAGCGCAAGUGACGGUACCUGCAGAAGAAGCGCCGGCUAACUACGUGCCAGCAGCCGCGGUAAUAC